rnacentral:tRNA from 1 species
GCCGGGAUAGCUCAGAGGUAGAGCAACGCACUCGUAACGCGUAGGUCGUGGGUUCAAUUCCCAUUCCCGGCU